GACGAACGCUGGCGGCGUGCUUAACACAUGCAAGUCGAACGGAAAGGCCCUUCGGGGUACUCGAGUGGCGAACGGGUGAGUAACACGUGGGUGAUCUGCCCUGCACUUUGGGAUAAGCCUGGGAAACUGGGUCUAAUACCGAAUAGGACCACGCGCUUCAUGGUGUGUGGUGGAAAGCUUUUGCGGUGUGGGAUGGGCCCGCGGCCUAUCAGCUUGUUGGUGGGGUAAUGGCCUACCAAGGCGACGACGGGUAGCCGGCCUGAGAGGGUGACCGGCCACACUGGGACUGAGAUACGGCCCAGACUCCUACGGGAGGCAGCAGUGGGGAUUAUUGCACAAUGGGCGCAAGCCUGAUGCAGCGACGCCGCGUGAGGGAUGACGGCCUUCGGGUUGUAAACCUCUUUCAAUAGGGACGAAGCGCAAGUGACGGUACCUAUAGAAGAAGCACCGGCCAACUACGUG
rnacentral:rRNA from 1 species